GGGGGUAUAGCUCAGGGGUAGAGUGCAUGCCUAGCAUGCACAAGGUCCCGGGUUUAAUCCCCAGUACCUCUG
rnacentral:tRNA from 1 species